GACGUAGGGUGCAAGCGUUUGUCCGGAUUUAUUGGGCGUAAAGAGCUCGUAGGCGGCUUGUUGCGUCGACUGUGAAAACCCGCGGCUUAACUGCGGGCUUGCAGUCGAUACGGGCAGACUGGAGGUAUGCAGGGGAGAACGGAAUUCCUGGUGUAGCGGUGAAAUGCGCAGAUAUCAGGAGGAACACCGAUGGCGAAGGCAGGUCUCGUGGGCAUUAACUGACGCUGAGGAGCGAAAGCAUGGGGAGCGAACAGGA
rnacentral:rRNA from 1 species